rnacentral:misc_RNA from 1 species
UUGAGGCAAUAGAUGAGGCAUCCGGCGCAAAAGCACUUGCAGCGAUUGGAGAUUCUUCAUCAGCAACCGGAUCCUUCAACUUCGGCUUCGGCUCACUGGACACAUUCUUCACCACAAACGUCCGCUUGGACGAUCGCCAGGUGGAGGUCGGAACCAGCAGCAAUUUCGAUUGGCGAUACCUGCUACUGAGACCGAUAAGAGAAGGAAAGGAAUUGGAGUGCGAAAACGAGUCUGCUCGAUUCAAAACAACGGUGAAUUGGGAGGUCGCGGCCAUGGAUUUUGGUCUGAGCAGAUCGCAAAGAGGUAGGGAGUAAGGAGAAGAUUGAGUGUAUACGUAGGAG